rnacentral:tRNA from 1 species
GCCGAGGUGGCGGAAUGGUAGACGCAAAGGACUUAAAAUCCUUCGAGCUUCGGCUCGUGCCGGUUCGAGUCCGGCUCUCGGCACCA